UACGUAGGGGGCAAGCGUUAUCCGGAAUUACUGGGCGUAAAGCGCACGCAGGCGGUUCGCCAAGUUUGGAGUGACAGUUGUCGGCUCAACCGACAAAGGACUUCAAAAACUGGUGAACUUGAGGACGAGAGAGGAGCAUGGAACUCCAGGUGUAGUAGUGAAAUGCGUAGAUAUCUGGAAGAACACCAAUGGCGAAGGCAAUGUUCUGGCUCGUUUCUGACGCUCAGGUGCGAAAGCCAGGGGAGCGAACGGG
rnacentral:rRNA from 1 species